AGGCCUUCGGGCUGAGUAGAGCGGCGGACGGGUGAGUAACGCGUAGGAAUCUACCUGGUAGUGGGGGACAACUUGGGGAAACUCAAGCUAAUACCGCAUAAUAUGUUUUGAUCGCAUGAUCUUAACAUCAAAGGAAUUUUCUUCGGAUUAUUUCACUUUGAGAUGGACCCGCGGCGCAUUAGCUAGUUGGUGAGGUAAAGGCCCACCAAGGCAACGAUGCGUAGCCGGCCUGAGAGGGCGACCGGCCACACUGGGACUGAGAUACGGCCCAGACUCCUACGGGAGGCAGCAGUGGGGAAUAUUGCACAAUGGGCGCAAGCCUGAUGCAGCAACGCCGCGUGCGGGAUGACGGCCUUCGGG
rnacentral:rRNA from 1 species